AGUGUACUGAUAUAAGUAGGACACGUGACAUCCCGGCAACUUUGAGAAAAAACACUUUAUAUUGGAGUUGUCUCGAGGAUGCCUAUGCAUAUUCAUGAUAUGAGUCUCUCCAUUGAGCGCAUGCAGUUUGACGUCAACAACCCUCGUCGAAUUGAGUUCCACAGUUCGAGUCAUAAUACCUAUACAACGAGCGGUAAAAACCCGGAAAUUAUUCCAAUUGUUUUUCCAAGAUACAUUUUCCGUGGGGGGUUUUAGAACUACUUUAUGGAAGGGCUAUGUGUAGUGUCUUAACACUUAGUACUUAUUUAUGUAAUAAGAAAGACUCGGAAUACAAGCAAUUGAACUGGAGCUUCACAUUUACUCAAACGGAUGUGACCCUGUGGUAACAAGGCUCCUGAGCCAAUAUCUUCCAUUCCAGCUGGUCAGGACAGCCUUAAACAGCCCAUGGAGCAGCUCAGCCUGGACAGAGCUACAAACAGAUAAUAAAGACAGUCCGUGAUUGGACGUUCUCUCUUCAUCGUCCAAAAGCUGUUUAGUUUGGUCCCGAAGAUUUCCUCAGUCUCUGUCUGGUGAACAGGAUCCAUUUCAUAAAGGGAUCAGAGGCACCAUCUUGGCCUGACUUCAUUGAGAUGUGCUUCUCUGUCUAAAUGGACUGUGUGGUCUGUUUUCUCUCCCACACAUAGAUGUCUUAAUCACGCUUGCUGUGCUGUGUGAGGGCCUUGUUGGAGAUGUUGGCUCUCAGGCACCCUGGUUAGGCUCUGUUGUACUGCUUGAUAUGGAUGCCGUUUUCCGGCCUCAGGCCAGAGUUCAAACUAGCCCACAAACUAGCCCACCUCCUGCUGAACAACUCAGAGGUGUAGCAUCUCACGCUGAUCAAGUGCAACUCUGUAGGAAGCAAGCCAGCCUUUUUGGACUCUUUCACAGUUCAACAUCUGCAGAGGCUGACUGUGUCUUACCCCUUGUGUUGGUCUGGCCAGACACAUGACAUCAUACUGGGGAGGGAAAUGGGUGCACCUUACUAUGAAGAGACCAGGCUAGGAAUCAUCCACAGCUCAGUGCUGAUGGGAGAAUCCAAUGUUGAAGGCCUAUACAUUUCAAACCAAUAUAGACAGCAACGGAAUCCUCCCUUUUUCAUAUCUCCUGUCUGAAGUCAAGCUACCAGAGACUUCCUGUAUAUUUGUAAUUUUUUAUAUACUGUACUAAUGCAGAUUCUUUUUUUCUAUGCUAUCAUUGCCAAUGUACCACUACCUAUGUCUGCGACUACAAUCUUCAUAAUCACUGUUGACCAAACAGAAUGUUUAUCCUUGUGGUCAUUUCAAUAUAAUAAGGUCAGGAUUCAAUCAUUGCAGAUGGUAUAUUUUCGUACUUCACUUUUAGGGGUGGGUUAGAUUUACAUAAUAGCAUGUCUCAAAUUGUGCCAUUACUUUUUUAGAUAUAUGUUUUAGAUAUUUUCACUUCAUUUAGACAGUAAGGAAAUCAGAGGGGGAGACCGGCAGGUGGGAGGAACAGUGGACAUGGGGAUUGAACCCUGGUCCCCAGUCUUACAUGCGACUUGUUCCGGGGAAUGUUUCCACUACAACACGGCUCUGCACAGAGAGUGCCAUUUCUUGAAAAGAAAGUACAUGUUAUGUCAUUCUUUCUCUAAACAACAACAGACUUUAAGGGUACAGAUGGGAGGACUGAGUUGUCCAACACUGGCUCACUGCAAUAAAUGGCUCCUGCCUUCCACUGGUGCCAAAAGUCUUGUUCCCGUCAUGGGAGGGAGACAUGCAUGCAA